UGGGGAAUAUUGGACAAUGGGCGCAAGCCUGAUCCAGCCAUGCCGCGUGAGUGACGAAGGUCUUCGGAUUGUAAAGCUCUUUUGCCAGGGACGAUAAUGACGGUACCUGGAGAAUAAGCCCCGGCUAACUUCGUGCCAGCAGCCGCGGUAAUACGAAGGGGGCUAGCGUUGUUCGGAAUUACUGGGCGUAAAGCGCACGUAGGCGGAUUUGUUAGUCAGGGGUGAAAUCCCGGGGCUCAACCUCGGAACUGCCUUUGAUACUGCAAGUCUCGAGUCCGAUAGAGGUGGGUGGAAUUCCUAGUGUAGAGGUGAAAUUCGUAGAUAUUAGGAAGAACACCAGUGGCGAAGGCGGCUCACUGGAUCGGUACUGACGCUGAGGUGCGAAAGCGUGGGGAGCAAACAGGAUUAGAUACCCCUGUAGUCCCUGAGCGGGCUGGCAAGGCGCAU
rnacentral:rRNA from 1 species